GGGGAUAACUAAUCGAAAGAUUAGCUAAUACCGCAUAUAUUCUGAGGAAGAAAGCAGGGGACCAUUUGGCCUUGCGCUGUUUGAGCGGCCGAUAUCUGAUUAGCUGGUUGGUGGGGUAAAGGCCUACCAAGGCGACGAUCAGUAGCGGGUCUGAGAGGAUGAUCCGCCACACUGGGACUGAGACACGGCCCAGACUCCUACGGGAGGCAGCAGUGGGGAAUUUUGGACAAUGGGCGCAAGCCUGAUCCAGCCAUGCCGCGUGUCUGAAGAAGGCCUUCGGGUUGUAAAGGACUUUUGUCAGGGAAGAAAAGGGCGGGGCUAAUACCCCUGUCUGAUGACGGUACCUGAAGAAUAAGCACCGGCUAACUACGUGCCAGCAGCCGCGGUAAUACGUAGGGUGCGAGCGUUAAUCGGAAUUACUGGGCGUAAAGCGGGCGCAGACGGUUACUUAAGCAGGAUGUGAAAUCCCCGGGCUCAACCUGGGAACUGCGUUCUGAACUGGGUGACUAGAGUGUGUCAG
rnacentral:rRNA from 1 species